rnacentral:rRNA from 1 species
UACGUAGGGGGCGAGCGUUGUCCGGAGUUACUGGGCGUAAAGCGCACGCAGGCGGUCUGCUAAGUUUGGAGUGACAGUUGGUGGCUUAACUGCCAAAGUGCUUCGAAAACUGACAGACUUGAGGGCUUCAGAGGGACACGGAAUUCCGGGUGGAGUGGUGAAGUGCGUAGAGAUCCGGAGGAACACCAAAGGCGAAGGCAGUGUCCUGGGGAGUACCUGACGCUCAGGUGCGAAAGCCAGGGGAGCGAACGGG